rnacentral:rRNA from 1 species
GCUAGCGUUGCUCGGAAUCACUGGGCGUAAAGGGUGCGUAGGCGGGUUUUUAAGUCAGGGGUGAAAUCCUGGAGCUCAACUCCAGAACUGCCUUUGAUACUGAAGAUCUUGAGUUCGGGAGAGGUGAGUGGAACUGCGAGUGUAGAGGUGAAAUUCGUAGAUAUUCGCAAGAACACCAGUGGCGAAGGCGGCUCACUGGCCCGAUACUGACGCUGAGGCACGAAAGCGUGGGGAGCAAACAGG